CCGAGCGCCGGGGGAUGAUGGGAGAGCGGCCGUUUGCGGCCGAGCAACGCGGGUCCCAGGAGCGUGGCGGCGGAGGCGGCGCGAGGCCAGCGGGCGGCAUGAGCAGGGCGGGGGGCGCGGGCCGGGCGCUGGCCGCGCUGCUGCUGGCCGCGUCCGUGUUGAGCGCCGCACUGCUGGCCCCCGGCGGCUCCCCGACGCCAGACUUAGGGAAAAAAAGGCGCUUAGAGCUGAAGAUGGACCAGGCUUUGCUGCUCAUCCAUAAUGAACUGCCUGGGACAAACUUGACCGUCUACUGGAAUUUCGAUCGCUGUUAUCAUUGCCUGCUCCAGGUCCUGGUCGACGUCUCCCAGAGCAGGAAACCCGGGGAGCCCAGCAUUGAGGCCGUGGCUGUGAGCACCCAGCACGGAUCCAUCCUGCAGCUUAAUGACACCGCGGAGGAGAAGCAAGUCUGUAGGCUGGAAUACAAAUUUGGAGAAUUUGGAAACUAUUCUCUCCUGGUAAAGCACACCCAUGAUGGAGUCAAUGAAAUUGCGUGUGACCUGGUCGUUAAUGAGAAGCCAGUUGACAGUAACCUUCCUGUGAGCAUCGCGUUCCUCGUCGGCCUGGUGCUCAUCAUUGUGGUGUCCCUUCUAAGGUUCUCGCUGAGCUUGGAAGACUUUCAUGAUUGGAUUUCUAAAGCCAUAAACUCUCAGGAAACUGAUGGCCUCAUCAAUUCUGAGCUGGGGUCUCCGAGCAGGGCGGGCGACCCCCCACCAGAGGCCUGGCGUCAGUCGGCGACCCCCCUGCGCCUCCGCUGCGUGGACACGUUCCGCGGGAUCGCUCUCAUCCUCAUGGUCUUUGUGAACUACGGAGGUGGGAGAUACUGGUACUUCAGGCAUGCAAGUUGGAACGGACUGACGGUGGCUGACCUUGUGUUCCCGUGGUUUGUGUUUAUUAUGGGAUCUUCGAUCUUUCUGUCAAUGACUUCCGUCCUGCAGCGGGGAUGUCCCAAAUUCAGAUUGCUGGGGAAAAUUGCAUGGAGGAGUUUCCUGUUAAUCUGUAUAGGAAUUGUCAUCGUGAACCCCAAUUAUUGCCUUGGUCCACUGUCCUGGGAGAAGGUGCGCAUCCCCGGCGUGCUCCAGCGGCUUGGGGGCACCUACUUUGUGGUCGCCGUGUUGGAGCUGCUCUUUGCCAAGCCCGUGCCUGAGAUCUGCACCUCGGAGAGAAGCUGCUUUUCUCUGCUGGAUAUCACAUCCAGCUGGCCCCAGUGGCUCUUCGUCCUGAUGCUGGAAGGUGUUUGGCUGGCCUUGACCUUCUUCUUACCUGUUCCCGGAUGCCCUACCGGCUAUCUGGGCCCCGGGGGCCUCGGAGACUGGGGCAAGUACCCGAAUUGCACGGGAGGCGCUGCCGGCUACAUUGACCGCCUGCUCCUGGGAGGCCAUCACCUCUACCAGCAUCCUUCCUCGGCUGUGCUGUAUCACACCGAGGUGGCCUACGACCCAGAAGGCAUCCUGGGGACCAUCAACUCCAUCGUGAUGGCGUUUUUAGGAGUUCAGGCAGGGAAAAUACUCCUGUAUUACAAGGAUCAGACCAAAGGCAUCCUGAUCAGAUUCGCUGCCUGGGGUUGUUUUCUUGGGUUUAUUUCUGUUGCUUUGACAAAGGCUUCCGAAAAUGAAGGCUUUAUUCCAGUAAACAAAAACCUCUGGUCCAUCUCCUAUAUCACCACGCUGAGCUCCUUCGCCUUCUUCAUCCUGCUGGUCCUGUACCCCGUUGUGGACGUGAAGGGGCUGUGGACGGGAACCCCGUUCUUCUACCCGGGCAUGAACUCGAUCUUGGUGUACGUGGGCCACGAGGUCUUCGCCAACUACUUCCCCUUCCGGUGGAGGCUGGGAGACAGCGAGGCGCACAAGGAGCAUCUCGUUCAGAACACAGUCGCCACUGCUCUCUGGGUGCUCAUCGCCUACGUUCUCUAUAAGAAGAAGGUGUUUUGGAAAAUCUGAGGCUGCAGCUGAGAUGCGUUGCUGGCGGACGACAGGGCUUGGGGCCUCAUUAAAAGGAGCCAUUCGUUAUAAAACUGCGUAUUUCCAGGUUAUUGGGAGAGAUGCGGACGUGCUCAGGCUGGUUGAUUGGACAUGGCUCCUCUGACUCUGUAAUGACCCUCCACAAUGGAGGCGGCUUUCCUGCUUGGAAUCACCAAACUGAAGACAUGUUUCUCAGGAGUGAAGGAGGAGAACACAGAGGACCAGCACUCCCGUUUUGCAGCAUCCUACUUAGGGAUUUUCUGUGAGAAUUCCACGUUGAAGGAAGCUGUGGCAAUAGGUUGUACUUUGGAGCAUCCUUGCAUGGUGAGACGGGGUCACUUCCACCUGUCCCCUGAUGUCAGCUAUCACCCUGCAUGGAUAGUGAGUUUCCAGCUACCCCGUCUCUACCCAAACUCUCAUUCCAACUUGUACCUGUCCACCUGGGUGUCCGCCAGCAUUCAGGCUCCCCCCCUCCACCCUCUCUUCUCAAACACAAGCCUUUCCGGCUUAGAUUGUCCCAGCUCUGCGGACAGGUGACCCUCUGUCUCUCGGAUAAAACUGUCUUUCACCCACUUUACCUCCUCUGUCCCCCUUUCCCAUGUUUGGUCAUUGCCAAGUCGUCUCAGUUCUCACGGUCACUGCCUGUUACUCUUGCCCAGAUGCCAAGAGGAAUCAUUUUCCUUCCCUCGCUCCCUCCUUCUGUAAACUCACUGCCCUCUGCCCCAGAUUACACUGCAUAAACAGAGCCUGACUCGCAUCACCUCCUUACGAGUGCUUGCCCUGAAGGUGGAACAGCUUUGCUGGCAGGUAGAGCCGUCCUCCGCUGAGCCCAGCACAGCUUCUCGGCUCCCUGCCAGCCCCCUGGACCCAGCCUGCUACUUGCAGCCCCAUCAGCUGCCUCCUGCCCCUGACUUUGCUUAGUCCCCUUAAUUUUCUCCCAUCGACCCUUGACCUAUCACAUUCGCCCCCUGCUUCUAAGGCACCUUCUCUAAUCUCUUAGUCUUGUCCCUAAGUAAUAGUUUCUUCCUCUGGGUUCUCGUCGUAUCUGGUUGGGCUCAGUCUCGUGGCACCUGUUGCUCUCUGCCUUGUAUGACAGCGACGUGGGUCCAUGACCAGCUUCCCGCGCUCGACUGAGAGCUUGUGGAGGAUGAGGCACGCUCCUCACGCGCAGGCGCUAAGAACAGCAGAAGAAAUGAACCUGACCCCUGACCCCAGUGUUGUGCUUAGAAGUGCGAGGCCUCAUCCCAAGCGUGUCACGUCACUGUCUUUACAGCCAGCUGGGAGGGAAGGGCCAGUGCCUGUACUUCCCAUGACAAGCUUGAGGGACAUGAACCUGUCCCUGGUACAUGGCAAGUAAAGGGCUGGGCAGAACCAGGCCGGAGGCCAGGCUGUCUGGCUCAGGGCACCCAGGUGACAGCAGCCGACGGGCAGGGGAGGCGCCCUCCACAGGCCACUGGGCAGGACCCCCACCCAUGGCCCCUCAUGGCGCCUUCAGUGGAAGUUCACUCAAGUUCAUCCUGGCACAAAGGUUUUUGAUGUUAAAACUUCCCGAAGGAAAAGGUCUAGCAUUCUGUUGAUAUGUGAUAUUCACCAAAACCUAACUAACUAUGGAAAAGAAAAUCUGGAGAACAUGGAAGGAAAUGCCUUUUUAAGUAAAGUACACUCUUGUUCAGAAACUCUAAGAAUUAAAAAUAAAAUUUUAAAAAACCCCACAAAUUUAGGAUGAUUUUAUUUACAAAACAGGUUGUUUUGUUUUACAAAAAUUACAAAAUAUGACAAAAAUAGUAAUAGCUUCUUGGACUGUUGGGAACUACUUCUAAGCGACCAAUGAGUUAAAACACCGCUGGUCUUCUCCUUUUGAAGAGCGACGACGGCAGCGCUCAUCCGCGCUUUAUGUCUCCCCAGAGCCCCGCGGCUGUGGGCUGCCUCUGGCGGGAGGACCGGUCAGGCCAGAGUCUGGAGCAGCAGGAUCUUCUCGUUGACGCAGAACCUGUGCAGCACCAGCAUCAAGUUCUCCCCACAGCGGGACACCUGGCGCUCCAUGGCCAGGCGGAAGUCCUCCUUCACGCCCUUGGUGAUGCCCCGGGUGACCGUGUGGUGCCUGGGGCGGCGACAGGGAAACAAACGGACGCCACAGUUAGCACGGCAGCACAGGUCAGUGACUCUGGGGCAGGAGAACGGGCUGCCUCAAAUCUAGCGAAAAGUUUAAAAAAGAAAAAAGCCCCAACCAAACAGCCUCCACUGCCCGUUCCUCUUCAGAAAGACUUAAAGCCGGAGAGCCGUCUUCCCCACUCAGGAAAAGGCUAUUCUAAACAUCGCGUGUUUGGCGAGAUGCUGCCUGCUUGGCUUCUAACUUCUGCAGCCCUGACGCUGUGCUUCCCGCUGUGACUCACGCACAGUUCAGUUACUUGGGGCUGAUGGAGUCCGGACCACCCCGGCCACACCGUUCGGGUCCCGCCAGGCCAGCUGAGCGCAGAGGCAGCAGCGGCAGGAGGAUGCCUGAGCGAGCGUGGCCAUGGCCGCGGCCCCUGGCCGGUGCCCUGGGACAGGCUCAGGAAGGCUCGGCUGCCGCACAGCACCGGCCACAAGCGUGCCUCUCUCCCUGCGGUGCCGGGACGGGACAGCUCCUCCAGGUCUGUUUGCGAAGAAGCAGGAGGAGCUGGGGCCCCAAGACAAGAGUCCGGCACCAGCGGGGAGAGAGAAGCAGAGUCGCUGAUGAAGAGCUUCCUGAGGGCCUGCUGGGGCCCGGGAGCCCUCCCUGCAUGCCGGGCCGGGCCGGCGGGAGCACAGGUGCGUCCUUCACGACGCCCUGGAGGGUGGGCUUCAGAGAAGGAAAUUACAGAGGAAACCCCAGGAAACUCCAAACACCAAAAUGAAGGAAGCAAAAGAAAAACCUAGCAAAAUUCAAUGGGUUCAAUCAAAAGGAAAGGCGUUUUAACUACCAGUCAGUAAUUGGGUAAAUUUAGACAAACAGAAGCCACCUCCAUCCCCCACUCCCACUGCCUUACUUCCCUAAGACACAGUCACAGGAAUUUAAAAUUACAUUUUUAGGUACUGGCCAAGAUUAAACUGUUGAAACCACUCUAAACUGUUUCUGUUUUUAAAACUUGAAUUAUAUAAAAUAAGUACAACAGAAGUCAGAAAGUUGCAAUGUAACAGAAGGGAAAAGAAAACCAGAACAGGCUUUGUUAGAAGGGUAAGAUAUUACAGGACAGCCUACAACGCCUGUGGACAGUUUACAGAACCACACAGUGAGACAGCACAGCCAGUUCUCUGUGGAUGUCUCUAAUCAGGUCCGGCUGGUGACUCAGAAGUAAGUACACAGUGUCAGUGAGCCCCGCUGGGAGCUCAUGCAGCCCCUUUAUGCUGCCCUGAGAUACUGCUCUUGGGGGACCCAGGCUGCAACCCCAAAUGGGAGCCCUCCCUCUGACCCACUGAAAGACACUGGUAUUUGCAGACACCGAACUAAAGGGCACGGAUGGCUCCAAGCACACGCUCCCCUUAAUACUAGUAAAAA